rnacentral:rRNA from 1 species
UGAACGCUGGCGGCAGGCCUAACACAUGCAAGUCGAACGGUAACAGGAAGAAGCUUGCUUCUUUGCUGACGAGUGGCGGACGGGUGAGUAAUGUCUGGGAAACUGCCUGAUGGAGGGGGAUAACUACUGGAAACGGUAGCUAAUACCGCAUAACGUCGCAAGACCAAAGAGGGGGACCUUCGGGCCUCUUGCCAUCGGAUGUGCCCAGAUGGGAUUAGCUAGUAGGUGGGGUAACGGCUCACCUAGGCGACGAUCCCUAGCUGGUCUGAGAGGAUGACCAGCCACACUGGAACUGAGACACGGUCCAGACUCCUACGGGAGGCAGCAGUGGGGAAUAUUGCACAAUGGGCGCAAGCCUGAUGCAGCCAUGCCGCGUGUAUGAAGAAGGCCUUCGGGUUGUAAAGUACUUUCAGCGGGGAGGAAGGGAGUAAAGUUAAUGCCUUUGCUCAUUGACGUUACCCGCAGAAGAAGCACCGGCUAACUCCGUGCCAGCAGCCGCGGUAAUACGGAGGGUGCAAGCGUUAAUCGGAAUUACUGGGCGUAAAGCGCACGCAGGCGGUUUGUUAAGUCAGAUGUGAAAUCCCCGGGCUCAACCUGGGAACUGCAUCUGAUACUGGCAAGCUUGAGUCUCGUAGAGGGGGGUAGAAUUCCAGGUGUAGCGGUGAAAUGCGUAGAGAUCUGGAGGAAUACCGGUGGCGAAGGCG